rnacentral:rRNA from 1 species
UACGAAGGGGGCUAGCGUUGUUCGGAAUUACUGGGCGUAAAGGGCGCGUAGGCGGUACUUCAAGUCAGGCGUGAAAGCCCCGGGCUCAACCUGGGAACCGCGCUUGAGACUGGAGAACUAGAGUUCGGGAGAGGUGAGUGGAACUGCGAGUGUAGAGGUGAAAUUCGUAGAUAUUCGCAAGAACACCAGUGGCGAAGGCGGCUCGCUGGGACGUUACUGACGCUGAGACGGCGAAAAGCGUGGGGAGCAAACAGGG